rnacentral:piRNA from 1 species
UGUAUUUUGUUAGUGUGUUGU